ACCAUAGAAAAAUUCAACUUAUCAAAUAUAUAGAAUAUUAUCAACAGCACCAAACUAUUAGUAUUAUUAAAUUUUCGGCUUUUGGAUAAAAAAAAUGUAUAUGGUUAAGAUGAUAUGAGCCCCCUAGCUAGAAUUGAGUGAGUAUUGGUUGAAUAGUAUAAUCUAACGGGUGAAAAUAGUCAAAGGGUUAAAUCUAAUGGCGAAAAACUUGGUAGCACAAAACGCUUGGUGCUAUCGAUAGUAUCCUAACCGGACUAUAUAUAGAGAGAGUUGAGCUAGAAUACUCGUAAAAGCACUAAGGGGCUGGUGCUUUUGAGUUCUUAGCCAUUGAAUGGAGAGAUGUAGGGUUGAGAUGAUGGUGGUAGGUGGUGGUAGAUGGUGAUAGAUGGAAUAGUGUUUGAUCCAAAGGCUAUUAGUAAUCAAAGAGUAAAUCCAAAGGUUAAAAACUUAAAAACACCAAGUUGUUGGUGCUUCUAAAAGUAUUCUAGCUCAAUUUUAUAUAUAUAUAUAUAUAUAUAUAUAUAUAUAUAUAUAUAUAUAUAUAUAUAUAUAUAUAUAUAUAUAUAUUAUAUAUAUAGAGAGAGAGUUGAGCUAGAAUACUAUCGAUAGCAAACGGAGCCACCGAUUUGUUUUUGAUGAUGGAACCUCCAAACCGACGAUCAGCACUGUUGAACAUGAUAUAUACCAGUUGAAAUAUUUAGAAAUCAAAUUUCAAAAUCAAUUGUAUUUUUGUUAGAAAAUUUUUUAAACUAUUUAAAACAAAAUCUAUACUCUUAAUCUUGAUUACAAGACUCCUAUAAUCAUUUUUUAAAGAAUAUUCAUUUUUAGCCAUUCAUUUUUGUGUCCACUUGAUGAAUAAGAGAACAAUAUCGAAAAUGUAUGAAAUUUGAUUUCUAAACACUUCAAGUAGUAUAGAUCAUGUUUAACGGUACCGAUCGUCGAUUUGGAGGUUCCAUCAUCGAAAAUAAAUUGGUGGCAACGAAGCUCGUUUGCUAUCGAUAGUAUUCUAGCUAAACUCUAUCUCUCUCUCUCUCUCUCUCUAUAUAUAUAUAUAUAAUGAAAAAAUAAAUUCGGAUUCAGGUCGGGUUCGGCUUCAGAUCGGGUACAGUCAAAAUCUAUAUCCGAAUCUAUAUCCGUCGGAUUUUUGUUCUUCAUAUCCAUAAAUAUCUGAAUCUAUUUUCAUUUAGUAUUGAAUAUAUCCGUUCUAUUCCGAUUUGGAUUCGGAUAAAAUUUUGAGUAUCCAUAUCUAUUGACAUCCUUAGACCUACUGAAUUUUGAGUUGGGUGCACGAGACGGGGAU
rnacentral:lncRNA from 1 species